rnacentral:lncRNA from 1 species
AGAUCCGCCUCCAUCGCAGCCAGAAGCAAGAAGCUGUCUUCCCGCCCCCGCGUGCCUACAAUCAGCCCCAGUCUCCCUGGGAAACCGACGAGCGCACCUGAGCUGGGUUCUGAGCUCCAGCGUUUUGGGGCUAGAAGUUGCGGACUAGUAGCUGAGGCGGCACGGGAGUGUAGGCGCGCGGGGUCGUUGCCGGGGGCACAGAGUGAGAACAAGCAAGGGAGCCCUGCUGAAUUGCAGCUUAGGAAGCCCUGAAUCCUGGAGACGGAGUUUUGCUCUUG